UAACCUCCAUCUACGCGUAACCUUGCCCUUGAUGCCACUGUUAGGGAACGCGACAAAAAACAAAAAAAAUCGAUACUGUGAGCACGCCCAUGAUCACUAUGGAGACUGCAUACAAGGUUCGAUCUUUUCGUUACCGACUCAUUGUGCAACGGAAGUAGAGUGGAUGAUGUUUGGCGGUGCACAUCCCCGAAGCUAGGAUUUACAACCUCCCAACUGCGAGGAUGUACUCCCUCGUCUGCCCCUCGGAGAGCCCUUCGGGAGGCGGUCGGACAGUUCCUCGAACGGUCUCUCGGAUAGCCCUUCAAGAGGACCAUCGAAAACCGAACGGUCACUCGCACAGCCCUUCGGGAGGACCCUCGAAACUCGGUCAGGUACUUGGACAACCCUUCGGGAGGUACUCACGAACUAAGACCGAAACCACGAUCUCUCUACAGAGUUGCACACAUACGGUGUCAUCUAUCCGGCAGGGCUCCGCCGUCGAGAACUAGUUCCUGCCGGAACUCACACAACCUUUCAUAUCUACGAAACUAUUUCGCUCGGAGGGAGAGAGGAAGCCAGAUCAUGCAUUACAUAUGUAU
rnacentral:lncRNA from 1 species